rnacentral:rRNA from 1 species
UACGAAGGGGGCUAGCGUUGUUCGGAGUUACUGGGCGUAAAGCGCGCGCAGGCGGUCUUCCAAGUCAGUGGUGAAAGCCUGGAGCUCAACUCCAGAACUGCCAUUGAAACUGCAAGACUUGAGUACGAGAGAGGUGAGUGGAAUUCCCAGUGUAGAGGUGAAAUUCGUAGAUAUUGGGAAGAACACCGGUGGCGAAGGCGGCUCACUGGCUCGUAACUGACGCUCAGGCGCGACAGCGUGGGGAUCAAACAGG